UUCCGGUUGAUCCCGCCGGACCCCACUGCUAUCGGGAUGGGACUGAGACAUGCUAGUCGCGCGCUUCCCAGCUAUGCGGGAGGAGCGGCGUACAGCUCAGUAACACGUGGCUAACCUGCCCUUGGGACGGGAACACCCCCGGGAAACUGGGGCUAAUUCUCGAUAGGUGAAGAACUCUGGAAUGAGUCUUCGCCUAAAAGCCAUUUGGAUCAUGCUUCCAAGUGGCGCCCAAGGAUGGGGCCGCGACCGAUCAGGUUGUUGGUGAGGUAAUGGCUCACCAAGCCUAUAACCGGUGCGGGCCGUGAGAGCGGGAGCCCGGAGAUGGGCACUGAGACAAGGGCCCAGGUCCUACGGGGCGCAGCAGUCGCGAAAACUUUGCAAUACACGAAAGUGUGACAGGGUCAUCCCGAGUGCCGACCGCUGAGGUUGGCUUUUACCCAGUCUAGAAAGCUGGGGGAAUAAGGAGAGGGCAAGUCUGGUGUCAGCCGCCGCGGUAAUACCAGCUCUCCGAGUGGUGUGGAUGUUUAUUGGGCCUAAAGCAUCCGUAGCUGGCCAAGCUAGUCCCCUGUUAAACCCACCGAAUUAAUCGUUGGAUUGCGGGGGAUACUGCUCGGCUAGGGGACGAGAGAGGCCGACGGUAUUCUCGGGGUAGGGGUGAAAUCCUAUAAUCCCGGGAAGACCACCAGUGGCGAAGGCUGUCGGCUAGAACGAGCCCGACGGUGAGGGAUGAAAGCUGGGGGAGCGAACCGGAUUAGAUACCCGGGUAGUCCCAGCUGUAAACGAUGCAGGCUAGGUGUUUGGACGGCCACGUGCCGUUCUAGUGCCGCAGGGAAGCUGUUAAGCCUGCCGCCUGGGGAGUACGAUCGCAAGGUUGAAACUUAAAGGAAUUGGCGGGGAGCACCACAAGG
rnacentral:rRNA from 1 species